UUAAGUUAGAAAGGGCGCACGGUGGAUGCCUUGGCACUAGGAGCCGAUGAAGGACGGGACGAACACCGAUAUGCUUCGGGGAGCUGUAAGCAAGCUUUGAUCCGGAGAUUUCCGAAUGGGGAAACCCACCACUCGUAAUGGAGUGGUAUCCAUAUCUGAAUACAUAGGAUAUGAGAAGGCAGACCCGGGGAACUGAAACAUCUAAGUACCCGGAGGAAGAGAAAGCAAAUGCGAUUCCCUGAGUAGCGGCGAGCGAAACGGGACCAGCCCAAACCAAGAGGCUUGCCUCUUGGGGUUGUAGGACACUCUGUACGGAGUUACAAAGGAACGAGGUAGAUGAAGAGGUCUGGAAAGGCCCGCCAUAGGAGGUAACAGCCCUGUAGUCAAAACUUCGUUCUCUCCUGAGUGGAUCCUGAGUACGGCGGAACACGUGAAAUUCCGUCGGAAUCCGGGAGGACCAUCUCCCAAGGCUAAAUACUCCCUAGUGACCGAUAGUGAACCAGUACCGUGAGGGAAAGGUGAAAAGCACCCCGGAAGGGGAGUGAAAGAGAUCCUGAAACCGUGUGCCUACAAGUAGUCAGAGCCCGUUAACGGGUGAUGGCGUGCCUUUUGUAGAAUGAACCGGCGAGUUACGAUCCCGUGCAAGGUUAAGCAGAAGAUGCGGAGCCGCAGCGAAAGCGAGUCUGAAUAGGGCGAAUUGAGUACGUGGUCGUAGACCCGAAACCAGGUGAUCUACCCAUGUCCAGGGUGAAGUUCAGGUAACACUGAAUGGAGGCCCGAACCCACGCACGUUGAAAAGUGCGGGGAUGAGGUGUGGGUAGGGGUGAAAUGCCAAUCGAACCUGGAGAUAGCUGGUUCUCUCCGAAAUAGCUUUAGGGCUAGCCUCAAGGUAAGAGUCUCGGAGGUAGAGCACUGAUUGGACUAGGGGCCCCUACCGGGUUACCGAAUUCAGUCAAACUCCGAAUGCCGAUGACUUAUCCUUGGGAGUCAGACUGCGAGUGAUAAGAUCCGUAGUCGAAAGGGAAACAGCCCAGACCGCCAGCUAAGGUCCCAAAGUAUACGUUAAGUGGAAAAGGAUGUGGAGUUGCUUAGACAACCAGGAUGUUGGCUUAGAAGCAGCCACCAUUUAAAGAGUGCGUAAUAGCUCACUGGUCGAGUGACUCUGCGCCGAAAAUGUACCGGGGCUAAACGUAUCACCGAAGCUGCGGACUGUUCUUCGAACAGUGGUAGGAGAGCGUUCUAAGGGCUGUGAAGCAAGACCGGAAGGACUUGUGGAGCGCUUAGAAGUGAGAAUGCCGGUAUGAGUAGCGAAAGAGGGGUGAGAAUCCCCUCCACCGAAUGCCUAAGGUUUCCUGAGGAAGGCUCGUCCGCUCAGGGUUAGUCGGGACCUAAGCCGAGGCCGAAAGGCGUAGGCGAUGGAUAACAGGUUGAUAUUCCUGUACCACCUCCUCACCAUUUGAGCAAUGGGGGGACGCAGGAGGAUAGGGUAAGCGCGGUAUUGGAUAUCCGCGUCCAAGCAGUUAGGCUGGGAAAUAGGCAAAUCCGUUUCCUGUGAAGGCUGAGCUGUGAUGGCGAGCGAAUUAUAGUAGCGAAGUUCCUGAUUCCACACUGCCAAGAAAAGCCUCUAGCGAGGUGAGAGGUGCCCGUACCGCAAACCGACACAGGUAGGCGAGGAGAGAAUCCUAAGGUGAUCGAGAGAACUCUCGUUAAGGAACUCGGCAAAAUGACCCCGUAACUUCGGGAGAAGGGGUGCUCUGUUAGGGUGCAAGCCCGAGAGAGCCGCAGUGAAUAGGCCCAGGCGACUGUUUAGCAAAAACACAGGUCUCUGCGAAGCCGUAAGGCGAAGUAUAGGGGCUGACGCCUGCCCGGUGCUGGAAGGUUAAGAGGAGCGCUUAGCGUAAGCGAAGGUGCGAAUUGAAGCCCCAGUAAACGGCGGCCGUAACUAUAACGGUCCUAAGGUAGCGAAAUUCCUUGUCGGGUAAGUUCCGACCCGCACGAAAGGCGCAACGAUCUGGGCACUGUCUCAACGAGAGACUCGGUGAAAUUAUAGUACCUGUGAAGAUGCAGGUUACCCGCGACAGGACGGAAAGACCCCGUGGAGCUUUACUGCAGCCUGAUAUUGAAUGUUGGUACAGCUUGUACAGGAUAGGUAGGAGCCUUGGAAACCGGAGCGCCAGCUUCGGUGGAGGCAUCGGUGGGAUACUACCCUGGCUGUAUUGACCUUCUAACCCGCCGCCCUUAUCGGGCGGGGAGACAGUGUCAGGUGGGCAGUUUGACUGGGGCGGUCGCCUCCUAAAAGGUAACGGAGGCGCCCAAAGGUUCCCUCAGAAUGGUUGGAAAUCAUUCGCAGAGUGUAAAGGCACAAGGGAGCUUGACUGCGAGACCUACAAGUCGAGCAGGGACGAAAGUCGGGCUUAGUGAUCCGGUGGUUCCGCAUGGAAGGGCCAUCGCUCAACGGAUAAAAGCUACCCCGGGGAUAACAGGCUUAUCUCCCCCAAGAGUCCACAUCGACGGGGAGGUUUGGCACCUCGAUGUCGGCUCAUCGCAUCCUGGGGCUGUAGUCGGUCCCAAGGGUUGGGCUGUUCGCCCAUUAAAGCGGUACGCGAGCUGGGUUCAGAACGUCGUGAGACAGUUCGGUCCCUAUCCGUCGCGGGCGCAGGAAAUUUGAGAGGAGCUGUCCUUAGUACGAGAGGACCGGGAUGGACGCACCGCUGGUGUACCAGUUGUUCUGCCAAGGGCAUCGCUGGGUAGCUAUGUGCGGACGGGAUAAGUGCUGAAAGCAUCUAAGCAUGAAGCCCCCCUCAAGAUGAGAUUUCCCAUUCCGCAAGGAAGUAAGAUCCCUGAAAGAUGAUCAGGUUGAUAGGUCUGAGGUGGAAGUGUGGCGACACAUGGAGCUGACAGAUACUAAUCGAUCGAGGACUUAACCAA
rnacentral:rRNA from 1 species